rnacentral:rRNA from 1 species
ACUUGAGAAAAGAAUCUAAGUCCAACCUAAAGCGAUCUAAAAACUAAAUUACACGCUUUAGAGCAAUUCAAACAAGGUACAGCCUGUUUGAAAUAGGAAACAACCUUUAACAGCGGGUAACUCAUUACACCUCAACCAAGUGGGCCUAAAAGCAGCCACCUUAAAAAGAGCGUCAAAGCCUAAUUUUCCCUUUAUUUUCCCCCAUACCCCAACCUAAACGAAACCCCUCACCAAUAUCAAGUUCUUCUAUAUUACCUAUAGAAACUUUUAUGUUAAAACUAGUAACAAGAAGCUACUUCUCUCCAUGCAAGUGUAAAUCAGAAUGGACCUCCCCACUGAUACUUAUACAGUUAACUAACUGCCCCCCUCCAGAAAACCCUAUUUUCUCCACCGUUAACCUAACACAAGAGCAUCCCAAGAAAGAUUAAACGAAAAAGAAGGAACUCGGCAAACAUUAUCCCGCCUGUUUACCAAAAACAUCGCCUCUUGAGUUAAAUAAGAGGUCUAGCCUGCCCAGUGACAUCAGUUCAACGGCCGCGGUAUCCUGACCGUGCAAAGGUAGCGCAAUCACUUGUUUUUUAAAUAAAGACUAGUAUGAAAGGCAUCACGAGGAUCAACCUGUCUCCUUUUUCUGAUCUGUGAAACUAAUCUUCCCGUGAAGAAGCGGGAAUUCCCCUAUAAGACGAGAAGACCCUAUGGAGCUUUAGACAACGCAGUAACUGCUUCAUUUUCGCACUUUAACCGCGCAGUCUUAGGUUGGGGUGACCGCGGAGUAAAAUCCACCCUCCACGCUGAAUUAGGCCCUCCCUAACAAAGAGCAACAACUCUACGUAUCAACAAUUUGACAGCAAUUGACCCAAUCACUUGAUCAACGAAACAAGUUACCCUAGGGAUAACAGCGCAAUCCACUUCGAGAGCUCGUAUCAACAAGUGGGUUUACGACCUCGAUGUUGGAUCAGGGUAUCCCAGUGGUGCAGCCGCUACUAAAGGCUCGUUUGUUCAACGAUUAAAACCCUACGUGAUCUGAGU